rnacentral:rRNA from 1 species
AUGUCUGCCGAUUGGCGUGACGAUAACACUACGAUCUUGACCGAGCUCUUUGUCCAACAAGUGCGUGCUGGCAAUAGGCUAGAUAAGCACUUGACUCAGAAUGCUUGUCUGGAGUACACCAAGCUCCAACUGAAGAACAAGUGGGAUAAGUUGAAGACUGAUUACAAUAAUUUCAGAAAACUCAAAUUUUAGGAGACCGUUGGUGGGUGGGACUAUGAGAGAAACACCAUCAAACAAGAUGUUGAAUGGUGGAAGAAAGCAAAGAUAGUGAGUCUAUUUUAGGACAUGCCUGGCUGUGGCAAGUUCCAAAAGCAUGGACUUCAAAAUGAGAAUAACUUAUCUAUCAUGUUUGCUGACAUCAGUGAUGGUACAGAUCACUGGAAUCCUGCUUCAGGCACCAUUCCCCAAUCUAGUAGUGCAACUUCUAUUUUCAAUGUGGACGACAUACAAGAUGUUGAUCUGGAGGAGACCCAAACAGGUGAGUCACAUGCUGAUGGAAAAGGGAAGAGACUUGGGAGGUAUGUGGAUGGCAAUAACAAGAAGCCAAAGACAUCUCUUGUUAUACAAGAACAGAUAACCAGGGUUGGAGAUAUAGCAGAGAGGACCCAAUCCAGCUUUGAGUGAUACAUGAAGAAAGAAGAGAGUUCAUCGAUUACUUCUGUGAUGGAUCUGGUUGUUGAGUGCGGGGCAAUAGUAGGCAGUGAUGAAUAUUUCAUUGCUAGUGAACUAUUUGUGAAGCGAGAGCAGAGAGAGAUGUUCCUGCAUAUGACGGAAAGUGCUACUCAUUUAGAUUGGUUGCGUAGGAAAUACAACACCAAGUAUGGGCAUUAG